CCUACGGGUGGCAGCAGUGGGGAAUAUUGCGCAAUGGGCGAAAGCCUGACGCAGCGACGCCGCGUGAGGGAUGAAGGUCUUCGGAUCGGAAACCUCUGUCAGCAGGGAAGAACGGUCACUGUGCUAAUCAGCAGUGAAUUGACGGUACCUGCAAAGGAAGCACCGGCUAACUCCGUGCCAGCAGCCGCGGUAAUACGGAGGGUGCGAGCGUUAAUCGGAAUUACUGGGCGUAAGGCGCUCGUAGGCGGUAUGUCAAGGCAAGGGUGAAAUCCCCGGGCUCAACGUGGGAACUGCCUUUGAAGCUGGCAAACUGGAGUGUGUGAGAGGAUAGUGGAAUUCCAGGUGUAGGAGUGAAAUCCGUAGAUAUCUGGAGGAACAUCAGUGGCGAAGGCGUCUAUCUGGCACAUAACUGACGCUGAGGAGCGAAAGCGUGGGUAGCAAACAGGAUUAGAUACCCCUGUAGUC
rnacentral:rRNA from 1 species